rnacentral:rRNA from 1 species
AACGAACGCUGGCGGCAUGCCUAACACAUGCAAGUCGAACGAAACCAUCGGGUCUAGUGGCGCCUGGGUGCGUCGCGCGUGGGAACAUGCACUUAGGUUUGGCAUAACUAUCCGAAAGGGGUGCUAAUACCGGACCAUGUCUUCGGACCAAAGAUUUAUCGCAUUUGGAUGGGCAAGAGUUGGAUUCGAUUGUUCUUAGGGUAAAAGCUUACCACGGCGCCGAUCAAUAACUGGUCUCAGAGGAUGAUCAGCAACACUUGGACUGGGACCCGGCCGGGACUCUUACGGGAGGCGGGAGUGGGGAAUAGUGCACAAUGGGCGGAGUCCUGAUGCACCAAGGCUGCGUGAGCUAUGUAGUCCUGAGGGUAGUAAAGCGCAUUUACCCGGGAUGGUAAUGACGGUACCUGGAGAAUAAGCCCCGGCUAACUCCGUG